rnacentral:rRNA from 1 species
GACGAACCGUGCGAACGUUGUUCGGAAUCACUGGGCUUAAAGGGCGCGUAGGCGGGCCAUCAAGUCAGGGGUGAAAUCCUCCAGCUCAACUGGAGAACUGCCUUUGAUACUGGUGGUCUUGAGUGGGGUAGGGGCAUGCGGAACAAUGGGUGGAGCGGUGAAAUGCGUAGAGAUGUGGAGGAACACCGAUGGCGAAGGCAGCCCCCUGGGUUAAGCACUGACGCUCAGGCACGAAAGCGUGGGGAGCAAACAGG